rnacentral:rRNA from 1 species
CACGGGGGGAGCAAGCGUUGUUCGGAAUCACUGGGCGUAAAGGGCGUGUAGGCGGUCAAGUUAGUGUGAUGUGAAAUCCCUCGGCUCACCCGAGGACCGGCAUCGCAUACUGCUUGGCUUGAGUACGGGAGAGGAUGUGGGAAUUCCUGGUGUAGCGGUGAAAUGCGUAGAUAUCAGGAGGAACACCGGUGGCGAAGGCGCACAUCUGGCCCGAUACUGACGCUGAGGCGCGAAAGCUAGGGGAGCAAACGG